rnacentral:rRNA from 1 species
ACGGUACCAGAGGAAUCAGCCUCGGCUAACUCCGUGCCAGCAGCCGCUGGUAAUACGGAGGAGGCAAGCGUUAUCCUGGAAUUAUUUGGGCGUACAGCGUCCGUAGGUGGUUAUGCACGUCUGCUGUCAAAGCGUGGGGCUUAACUCCAUAGAGGCAGUGGAAACUGAGUGACUAGAGUGCGGUAGGGGUCGAGGGAAUUCCCAGUGUAGCGGUGAAAUGCGUAGAGAUCAGGAAGAACGUCGGUGGCGAAGGCGGACUCCUGGCCGAACACUGACGCUGACGUGCGACAGCGUGGGGAGCGAACGGGAUUCGAUAGCCCGGUAGUCCAACGACGUAAACGAUGGACAAUAGGUGUGGGCUCGGGAGACGGGUCCGUGCCGGAGCAAACGCAGUAAGUGUCCCGCCUGGCGAGUACGGUCGCAAGGCUGAUACUCAAAGGAAUUGACGGGGGCCCGCACAAGCGGUGGAGCAUGUGGUUUAAUUCGACGCAACGCGCAGAACCUUACCUGGGUUCGACAUGGCCG